rnacentral:lncRNA from 1 species
AAUAAAUAAAUAACAAAUUAUUUAAGUAUUUAGAAAAAUAAAAAAAAAUUAAGGUGGACUGUUCUUUUUAAUAUUUAUUUAUUUGUUUGUUAAAAAAACAAGUUGCCAGCAAAUUGUUGAAGACGAUAUAGUGCAUGUAGAGAUUGUGGUCUAAUUAGUGGAGCGCGAGGGGAAAAUGUGAAGGGAGUAAUUAGGCUUUGAUGCUAAAUUGUUGAUGCAGCUUUCCCUGAAAAUGUGAAGUUUGUUCCCCAGAGUGACCCUGAACCUGACACGCAUGGAACAACAACAAAACUGCCUCGCAUGUGCAUGCAAAGAAGCACUUCUGCCAAGGUGCUCAUGUGAAAUGAAUGUUUAUCAGCAAGACUGUUUAAGCGAUGGUGACCAGCGAUUUCUACAGGAGAUGCACUGUUGGAUGCGAGCUUGGCCCGAUGCCCGGAUGCUCUUUACCACCCUGUAUGUGUGAUCGCAUUAGGAGGCCGAAAACAAGUCACUGAAAGCCCAUCAUGCAGUGCUCGCAGCAGCCAUCUAAGGUUGAUAAAGAAAUGCCACCCGCUCGGGGUACCUGGUAAUGGGCAGUAAAGGCUGACAGGUCAGACAUUAUGUGAUGGCCUAUUAUUAAAUGUUUGCGUCAUGAAGAACUGUGAAUUGCUCUGUUGCAGUGGGUGGCUUUUUUAUGCUUUAGGUCCCUUGCAACCCUUAAAGUCUAGAUCCGUUAAAAGAGCAUUUUGUCUUGAUAAGAGUGGGCUCUUUUGUUAAAUUUAAUUUCGGUUCAAAGAAAAAAACACUGCUUUUGCCCUGAGCUUGACAUACUGGCUAUUAUGAACUGUCAUUGUGCGGAAAUAACAGUGCAGAGAUCCUAAUGCCUUUUAAGGACAAUAACUAUAAAGAUAAUGUUUUGAAGAAACUGUAUGUAGUUUUGUGAAGGAUAUUUUUCCAACUUUUAUGGCAGUUUAGUGAGUGGAAUUCACUGUCGUUAAUAUGUCGCUGUAAUAACUAUAGUGCAGCUGUACACGUGCA